rnacentral:rRNA from 1 species
AGUGAACGCUGGCGGUAGGCCUAACACAUGCAAGUCGAACGGCAGCACAGUAAGAGCUUGCUCUUACGGGUGGCGAGUGGCGGACGGGUGAGGAAUACAUCGGAAUCUACUUUUUCGUGGGGGCUAACGCAGGGAAACUUACGCUAAUACCGCAUACGACCUACGGGUGAAAGCAGGGGAUCUUCGGACCUCGCGCGAUCGAAUGAGCCGAUGUCGGAUUAGCUAGUUGGCGGGGUAAAGGCCCACCAAGGCGACGAUCCGUAGCUGGUCUGAGAGGAUGAUCAGCCACACUGGAACUGAGACACGGUCCAGACUCCUACGGGAGGCAGCAGUGGGGAAUAUUGGACAAUGGGCGCAAGCCUGAUCCAGCCAUACCGCGUGGGUGAAGAAGGCCUUCGGAUUGUAAAGCCCUUUUGUUGGGGAAGAAAAGCAGCAGGUUAAUACCCCGCUGUUCUGACGGUACCCAAAGAAUAAGCACCGGCUAACUUCGUG